CAGCAGCCGCGGUAAUACAGAGGGUGCGAGCGUUAAUCGGAUUUACUGGGCGUAAAGCGUGCGUAGGCGGCUUCUUAAGUCGGAUGUGAAAUCCCUGAGCUUAACUUAGGAAUUGCAUUCGAUACUGGGAAGCUAGAGUAUGGGAGAGGAUGGUAGAAUUCCAGGUGUAGCGGUGAAAUGCGUAGAGAUCUGGAGGAAUACCGAUGGCGAAGGCAGCCAUCUGGCCUAAUACUGACGCUGAGGUACGAAAGCAUGGGGAGCAAACAGGAUUAGAUACCCCCGUAGCCCUGUCUCUUAUACA
rnacentral:rRNA from 1 species